rnacentral:rRNA from 1 species
GACAGAGGUGCCAAGCGUUAGGCGGAAUCACUGGGCUUAAAGCGCGUGUAGGCGGCUAAGUAAGUCGGGCGUGAAAUCCCACGGCUCAACCGUGGAAGUGCACUCGAAACUGCAUAGCUAGAGUCCUGGAGAGGAAGGUGGAAUGCUUGGUGUAGAGGUGAAAUUCGUAGAUAUCAAGCGGAACACCGGUGGCGAAGGCGGCCUUCUGGACAGUGACUGACGCUGAGACGCGAAAGCGUGGGGAGCAAACAGG